rnacentral:lncRNA from 1 species
CAUGUAUUUCUUCAAUAGGAGGUAAAUUUUUCACAUCUUCGGCUUUAAUACCUUUUUUCGCCAUACAUUUCUUUGCCUCUUGCAUAUUGAUAUGUCUCCAACGUAUCUAUAAUUUUUUAUUGUUACAUGUUGUUAUAUUAUCAUUCUUGGAUGUUUUAUAAUCACUAGGAAAGCCUGAGGAUGCCGGCUCAUUUAUAUACUCUCUAGGAACAUCAUCAUCCUCUCCAUCCCCCGUCAUUAUCAGCGCCACGUGGUUGCCGCUUAGCAGCCCAUUUUGAGUUCCGCCGAGAGGUCCUAUUUGGAGAACCCUACAAUGAACAAAAAAUAUUAAUUACGGAGAGGGUAAAAGAAAAGAGCAUAAAUAAAUGGCCACAUGAUAAAAGAAAAAGGAAAUGUGAACCUCUGUUUCACUACUAGGCACAUUUCCUCUGGUUGCACAGUAAUGUAUCCCUAGUUGCGCAGGAUCCAAGACCCUAGUUGCACAGAACUAAGAUAAAAUUAUUUUCCUAGUUUGCUUACAAAUUUGGCUAGAAGAUAUGAUAGAUUGCAUAGGAAGGCUCCCCAAGUUGCACAGAACUGACACCAAAAACUGAUAUACAGAGAACGAAAAUUAUUUGCCUAGUUUGCUUACAAAUUGGGCUACAAAGAUAUGAUAGAUUACUAAGGAACCCCUAGUUGCACAGAACUAACACCAAAAACUUGAUAUACAAAGAACAAAAUUUAUUUUGCCUAGUUUGCUUACAAAAUUUGGCUAUCAAAUGUAAUAGAUUGCAUAGGAAGGCACCCUAGUUGCACAGGGAGGCGCCCCUACUUGCACAGAACUAACACCAAAAAUUGACUUACAAAUUUGGCUAGUGGCUAUGAUAAAUUGCACAGGAACGUGGCCCUAGUUGCACAAAAAAUAGUCUGACUACACAUAGGAAUUCUCCCUCUCAAAAUCAGCAAAAAUCAUGCGGAAAGCCGCCGGGGCUAGUGCUCUACCUUCCCCUAGCAGAUCAACUAUAGAUCCAUGGCUGUUAAUCCAUGGAAGGACAUAUCUACCCAGCCGACUCCUUCACG